rnacentral:rRNA from 1 species
GAAAAAAACAUGUCAAAGCCUGAUCUCGUAUGAUCUUAGAAGCUAAGCCGGGCUGGGCCUGGUUACUACUUAGAUGGGAAAUGGCUGGGAAUACUAGGUGCC